rnacentral:rRNA from 1 species
CACUAUCGUUAACUGAAUACAUAGGUUAACGAGGCGAACCGGGGGAACUGAAACAUCUAAGUACCCCGAGGAAAAGAAAUCAACCGAGAUUCCCCCAGUAGCGGCGAGCGAACGGGGAGCAGCCCAGAGUCUGAAUCAGCUUGUGUGUUAGUGGAACGGUCUGGAAAGUCCGACGGUACAGGGUGAUAGUCCCGUACACCAAAAUGCACAGGUUGUGAACUCGAAGAGUAGGGCGGGACACGUGGUAUCCUGUCUGAAUAUGGGGGGACCAUCCUCCAAGGCUAAAUACUCCUGACUGACCGAUAGUGAACCAGUACCGUGAGGGAAAGGCGAAAAGAACCCCGGCGAGGGGAGUGAAAAAGAACCUGAAACCGUGUACGUACAAGCAGUGGGAGCACCUUCGGGUGUGACUGCGUACCUUUUGUAUAAUGGGUCAGCGACUUAUAUUCUGUAGCAAGGUUAACCGUAUAGGGGAGCCGCAGGGAAACCGAGUCUUAACUGGGCGUUAAGUUGCAGGGUAUAGACCCGAAACCCGGUGAUCUAGCCAUGGGCAGGUUGAAGGUUGGGUAACACUAACUGGAGGACCGAACCGACUAAUGUUGAAAAAUUAGCGGAUGACUUGUGGCUGGGGGUGAAAGGCCAAUCAAACCGGGAGAUAGCUGGUUCUCCCCGAAAGCUAUUUAGGUAGCGCCUCGUGAACUCAUCUUCGGGGGUAGAGCACUGUUUCGGCUAGGGGGUCAUCCCGACUUACCAACCCGAUGCAAACUACGAAUACCGAAGAAUGUUAUCACGGGAGACACACGGCGGGUGCUAACGUCCGUCGUGAAGAGGGAAACAACCCAGACCGCCAGCUAAGGUCCCAAAGUCAUGGUUAAGUGGGAAACGAUGUGGGAAGGCACAGACAGCCAGGAUGUUGGCUUAGAAGCAGCCAUCAUUUAAAGAAAGCGUAAUAGCUCACUGGUCGAGUCGGCCUGCGCGGAAGAUGUAACGGGGCUAAACCAUGCACCGAAGCUGCGGCAGCGACACUAUGUGUUGUUGGGUAGGGGAGCGUUCUGUAAGCCUGCGAAGGUGACCUGUGAGGGUUGCUGGAGGUAUCAGAAGUGCGAAUGCUGACAUAAGUAACGAUAAAGCGGGUGAAAAGCCCGCUCGCCGGAAGACCAAGGGUUCCUGUCCAACGUUAAUCGGGGCAGGGUGAGUCGACCCCUAAGGCGAGGCCGAAAGGCGUAGUCGAUGGGAAACAGGUUAAUAUUCCUGUACUUGGUGUUACUGCGAAGGGGGGACGGAGAAGGCUAUGUUAGCCGGGCGACGGUUGUCCCGGUUUAAGCAUGUAGGCUGGUUAUCCAGGCAAAUCCGGAUAAUCAAGGCUGAGGUGUGAUGACGAGGCACUACGGUGCUGAAGUAACAAAUGCCCUGCUUCCAGGAAAAGCCUCUAAGCAUCAGGUAACAUCAAAUCGUACCCCAAACCGACACAGGUGGUCAGGUAGAGAAUACCAAGGCGCUUGAGAGAACUCGGGUGAAGGAACUAGGCAAAAUGGUGCCGUAACUUCGGGAGAAGGCACGCUGGUGUGUAGGUGAAGCCCCUGCGGGUGGAGCUGAGACCAGUCGAAGAUACCAGCUGGCUGCAACUGUUUAUUAAAAACACAGCACUGUGCAAACACGAAAGUGGACGUAUACGGUGUGACGCCUGCCCGGUGCCGGAAGGUUAAUUGAUGGGGUUAUCCGUAAGGAGAAGCUCUUGAUCGAAGCCCCGGUAAACGGCGGCCGUAACUAUAACGGUCCUAAGGUAGCGAAAUUCCUUGUCGGGUAAGUUCCGACCUGCACGAAUGGCGUAAUGAUGGCCAGGCUGUCUCCACCCGAGACUCAGUGAAAUUGAACUCGCUGUGAAGAUGCAGUGUACCCGCGGCAAGACGGAAAGACCCCGUGAACCUUUACUAUAGCUUGACACUGAACAUUGAGCCUUGAUGUGUAGGAUAGGUGGGAGGCUUUGAAGCGUGGACGCCAGUCUGCGUGGAGCCAACCUUGAAAUACCACCCUUUAAUGUUUGAUGUUCUAACGUUGGCCCCUGACCGGGGUUGCGGACAGUGUCUGGUGGGUAGUUUGACUGGGGCGGUCUCCUCCCAAAGCGUAACGGAGGAGCACGAAGGUUAGCUAAUCCUGGUCGGACAUCAGGAGGUUAGUGCAAUGGCAUAAGCUAGCUUGACUGCGAGCGUGACGGCGCGAGCAGGUGCGAAAGCAGGUCAUAGUGAUCCGGUGGUUCUGAAUGGAAGGGCCAUCGCUCAACGGAUAAAAGGUACUCCGGGGAUAACAGGCUGAUACCGCCCAAGAGUUCAUAUCGACGGCGGUGUUUGGCACCUCGAUGUCGGCUCAUCACAUCCUGGGGCUGAAGUAGGUCCCAAGGGUAUGGCUGUUCGCCAUUUAAAGUGGUACGCGAGCUGGGUUUAGAACGUCGUGAGACAGUUCGGUCCCUAUCUGCCGUGGGCGCUGGAGAAUUGAGGGGGGCUGCUCCUAGUACGAGAGGACCGGAGUGGACGCAUCACUGGUGUUCGGGUUGUCAUGCCAAUGGCACUGCCCGGUAGCUAAAUGCGGAAGAGAUAAGUGCUGAAAGCAUCUAAGCACGAAACUUGCCCCGAGAUGAGUUCUCCCUGAGACUUUAAGUCUCCUGAAGGAACGUU